UUUACUGAGCUGGAAAGAUAAAAAUUAAUGGAAUCAUAGAAUAUCCCAAGCUGGAAAGAACGCACAAGGAUCAUCAAGUCCAACUCCUGGGUCCACACAAGACCACCCAAAUAAUCAGACCAUGUGUCUGAGUGUUAUCCAAAUACUUCUAGAACUCUGUCAGGCUCGGUGCCAUG